ACAGUUUAUGUGGAGAGAACUUUAAACUAGAAUCAUUAACAACUUCAAUCUUUCAUUUUGUCCUGCAGGAGAGAGUCUCCUGAUGGGAACAAUGUGGUGUGUAUUCUCACGCUGCCGCCUUACCAACGCCGAGGCUACGGGAAGUUCCUCAUAGCUUUUAGUUACGAGCUGUGUAAGCUGGAGAGUGCAGUGGGUUCUCCGGAGAAGCCUCUGUCUGAUCUGGGGAAGCUGAGCUACAGAAGUUACUGGUCCUGGGUCCUGCUGGAGAUCCUGAGGGACUUCAGAGGAACGCUGUCCAUCAAAGACCUCAGUCAGAUGACCAGCAUCACGCAGAGUGACAUCAUCAGCACGCUGCAGUUGCUCAACAUGGUGAAGUACUGGAAAGGUCAGCACGUUAUCUGUGUGACGCCCAAACUGGUGGAGGAGCAUCUGAAGAGCGCCCAGUACAAGAAACCGCCGAUCACAGUGGACACUAUGUGUUUGAAGUGGGCGCCUCCUAAAAACAAACAGGCCAAGUUGUCCAAGAAGUGAGAGAGGAGGGGGCGGAGCCAGUGACGCCGCGUCCGUCCGUCACCGCCAGUCGACCCGUGCAUAUCGUUCUCCUUCAUCUGCUGUUGUUAAAAACUCUCUGUAUAUAGCUGUUAGCAGCAUCUGUCAGUAUUUUCUUAAAAUAUAUUUUAAAACAUC